GGGACCCCAGGCUUUGGCUACGAAGGGGUCUGCCUUUCUACACUAUUCCGGGACACUGGUGUCCACCACUGCCGCCUGGGCACGGGGAACAGAGACUGCCCGGUGGGAGCAGACAAGAGAUUUGAGGAUCUCAGCUUCUUCUCUUCAGUGUGUGCCUGGGAGAAGGUGCAGGUACAGCCAGUGGGGUAGGAUUGAAAAAAGGGACCCGAGAGUUUGGAGACAGUCGCCCACAAUGCACCAGCUCUCUGUGUGUCACAAUCUUGCCUGUCAGGGACCACGAUCCCACUUCACAGUUAGCAAAUAGCAGCUCAGGGACAUUCAGCAACUCGUCCAGCAUCCCACCAGACAGUUACACCUUCAGGGUUGUCUGUGUCUGUUAAAGUCAAGUCUAGUUUCGGGUCUCAGAGCACCUUCCUAAAGCUGCCGUAAGCCAAAAACGAAAUUCUAAGCCCUACAGCUGAUGGAAUGGACCCCGCCUCUGGGCCAAGGGGAUUCCAAACAAACCUGAAAAACUAGUUCAGGCCAUGAUGAGAAGGAGUGGGGGCUGGACAAGCCUUAUACCCUCCUCCCUUCUUCGGAAUUUGGGCACAACUGACCAGAAAUGACAUUAAAACAGAGAUCUUAAGACUGACAAGGCGCUCUGUAGCAAUAAGACACCAAAUUCCAACCUGACGCCAGAGUAUAGCAUCACAUGACAGAUAGAAGGCCGUGAAAUCAAUAUUUUACCUCAAAAUAUAUUUCUUUGACAUAUCUUGAAAUGGCCCUGCCAAGCUGUCUCUUGUGGGGAACAUUUACAUUCUAUAGAGAACCACCUUCCCUUUCCAGGUCUUCUUCUGAUGCUGAAGAAACUGGCUGAGAGUCUGGCACCUGCUAUAGGUCUGAACAGCAAACAUUUGCCAUCUGUUGUCUCUAAGGGUGACCACCUAUGAGAUUUCAUCUAUGUAAUAAGAACCGUGGUCUCCACGGUCUCUUAUCUUAACCCAGACACUCCUUUCUAUUGACAGCAGGUCUGUAGAUAAUAAUUCUUUCAACCAAUUGACAAUUAGAAAAUCUUUGACACUGUCUAUGACCUGGAAGCCCCAUUAUUUUCAAUUGUCCUCUUUCCAGACCAAACCAGUGCAUGACUCCUGGGUACUGACUGUGGUCUUACGUCUCCCUAAGGUGUAUAAACCAAACUGCAGCCUGACUACGUUGUACGCAUGUUCUCAGGACCUCCUGAAGCGGCGUCACAGGCGUUAAUCCAAGAACACAACCAAAAUGAGAAGCUGAGGUUGAGAGAAGUUACCUAAUGGGCCACAGUCACACAGCUGGGAAGUGCAGAACCAAUAUCCACCUCACAUUCGAAGGUCUUUUCUGAACCCCGUCUGCCCCACCCUAGUUAUAGAUGCAGCGUUACCUGGAAAGAAGCUAAAGCUGGGUGGU